rnacentral:rRNA from 1 species
CGCGGGAAUUCGAUUGGAAACAGGYGCUAAUACCGGAUAACAACAGAUGAUGCCUAUCAACUGUUUAAAAGAUGGUUCUGCUAUCACUUAUCGAUGGCCUUGCGGUGCAUUAACUAGUUGGCGAGGUAACGGCUCACCAWGGUGAUGAUGCAUAGCCGACCUGAGAGGGUAAUCGGCCACWUUGGGACUGAGACACGGCCCAAACUCCUACGGGAGGCAGCAGUAGGGAAUCUUCCGCAAUGGACGCAAGUCUGACGGGGCAACGCCGCGUGAGUGAAGAAGGUUUUCGGAUCGUAAAACUCUGUUGUAAGAGAAGAACAAAUUGUAGAGUAACUGCUACAGUCUUGACGGUAUCUUACCAGAAAGCCACGGCUAACUACGUGCCAGCAGCCGCGGUAAUACGAUAAUCACUAGUGAAUUCGCGGCCGCCUGCAGGUCGACCAUAUGGGAGAGCUCCCAACGCGU